UACGAAGGGGGCUAGCGUUUGCUCGGAAUUACUGGGCGUAAAGCGCACGUAGGCGGCUCUUUAAGUCGGAGGUGAAAUCCUGGAGCUCAACUCCAGAACUGCCUUCGAUACUGUAGAGCUUGAGUUCGGGAGAGGUGAGUGGAACUGCGAGUGUAGAGGUGAAAUUCGUAGAUAUUCGCAAGAACACCAGUGGCGAAGGCGGCUCACUGGCCCGAUACUGACGCUGAGGUGCGAAAGCGUGGGGAGCAAACAGGAU
rnacentral:rRNA from 1 species